GACGAACGCUGGCGGCGUGCUUAACACAUGCAAGUCGAACGGAGCGAAUGAAAGCUUGCUUUUAUGAGCUUAGUGGCAAACGGGUGAGUAACACGUAGACAACCUGCCGACAGGAUGGGGACAACAUUCCGAAAGGAAUGCUAAUACCGAAUGAAGCGGAGGAGAGGCAUCUCUCUUCCGUGAAAGAUGGCCUCUUUUUAUGCUAUCACCUGUUGAUGGGUCUGCGUCUGAUUAGCUGGUAGGUGAGGUAACGGCUCACCUAGGCGACGAUCAGUAGCCGGUCUGAGAGGAUGAACGGCCACAUUGGGACUGAGACACGGCCCAGACUCCUACGGGAGGCAGCAGUGGGGAAUCUUCCGCAAUGGGCGCAAGCCUGACGGAGCAACGCCGCGUGAGUGAAGAAGGUCUUCGGAUCGUAAAGCUCUGCUGACGGGGACGAACGUGCGAGAGGUGAAUAAUCUCUUGUAAU
rnacentral:rRNA from 1 species